UACGCUCGCGGCAGUGAUAAUGUAUUCCAUGACCAGGGGAUGAAGUUAUGACCAGAACAAUGUGCACAACAAGGUGGUCUUUUGAAGAAAGAGAGCGCAGGAUGGAGAAAAAUGCAAAGAAGGAGCUGAGGUAGAAUAAUACCCUAGGGUUUUGAGGGUGUGGCGAAUGCGGCGUGCUUCUUCGAUAAUGAUGUAAUGAGUAUUCCAGGGCUCCGAUUGGUUACGCCUGCCCAGACUCUCGCUCUUUCACUGACCAGAUAAAAAUAUUAUAGUCAACUUUCAUAACACGACUCGAGUAAAUAAAAAUAACCAAGGUUCAGCCAUUUUUUUUUUGGAAGGAACGGAAUAAAUGAGGAUUCAGUGAGGAUGAUGACUUAAUUUAUGACCAACUUGACCCCUUGACUUUAUGAUGCCUGGAAGGUCUUGGUAAAUUUUUGAAGUAACCUUAAAGAGAAAAACCAGCAAUGGAAUAUAGCAGGUUGAAUAUCAACAUCAUCAUUUACUGUAA